rnacentral:rRNA from 1 species
AUUCCAGCUCCAAUAGCGUAUAUUAAUGUUGUUGCAGUUAAAAAGCUCGUAGUUGGAUUUCUGGAUUGAGCGGCUGGCCUUGCGCGCAAGCGUUCGUGUCGGCUUCGUUUCGGUCCAUCCUCAGGGGGACUUGCGCUGGCAUUAACGUGUCGGUGUUGGGACGCCUGUCGUUUACUGUGAACAAAUUAGAGUGUUCAAAGCAAGGUGUACUUGAAUACAUUAGCAUGGAAUAAUAAGAUAGGACUUUGGUGGUUCUUUUUGAUAUUUUGUUGGUUUGCACGCCAAAGUAAUGAUUAAUAGGAGCAGUUGUGGGUAUUCGUAUUCAAUUGUCAGAGGUGAAAUUCUUGGAUUUAUAGAAGACGAACUACUGCGAAAGCAUUUACCAAGGAUGUUUUCAUUG